rnacentral:rRNA from 1 species
CGCCUGUUUAACAAAAACAUGUCCUCAUGUUUUUAUUUGAGGUUUGGCCUGCCCGGUGAUUUUAAUUUAACGGCCGCGGUAUAUUGACCGUGCAAAGGUAGCAUAAUCAUUAGUCUUUUAAUAGGAGGCUGGUAUGAAAGGUUUAACGAAAAAUUAACUGUCUCAAUUAUAAAUUUGAAUUUAACUUUUAAGUUAAAAGGCUUAAAUUUUUUUGUAGGACGAGAAGACCCUAUAGAGCUUUACAUUUAAUAUUUUGUUAUAUUGAUUUAGAUUAAUAUUUUUAAUUAACUUUAAAAAAUGUUUUGUUGGGGUGACAAGAAAUAUAUAUUUAACUUUUAUUAUUAUAUUUUCAUUAAUUUAUGAUUAUUGGAUCCAAAAUUUUUGAUCAUUAGAAUAAGUUACCUUAGGGAUAACAGCG